rnacentral:rRNA from 1 species
AGAGCGAACGCUGGCGGCAGGCCUAACACAUGCAAGUCGAGCGCCCCGCAAGGGGAGCGGCAGACGGGAGAGUAACACGUGGGUAAUCUGCCCUUCGAUGGGGAAUAACUCCGGGAAACCGAAGCUAAUUCCGCAUAACAUUCCUUGGACCUCGGUCUGGGGAUUCAAAGCCGUAAGGCGUCGGAGGAGGAACCCGCGCACGAUUAGUUAGUUGGCAGGGUAACGGCCUACCAAGACUUUGAUCGUUAGC